rnacentral:rRNA from 1 species
UCUACGGGGGGCAGCAGUGAGGAAUAUUGGUCAAUGGGCGCGAGCCUGAACCAGCCAAGUCGCGUGAGGGAUGACGGCCCUACGGGUUGUAAACCUCUUUUGCCGGGGAGCAACGGGCGCCACGUGUGGCGCCACUGAGAGUACCCGGAGAAAAAGCAUCGGCUAACUCCGUGCCAGCAGCCGCGGUAAUACGGAGGGUGCAAGCGUUGUCCGGAAUCAUUGGGCGUAAAGAGUUCGUAGGCGGCAUGUAAAGUCAGGUGUUAAAGGCGCAGGCUCAACCUGUGUAUGGCACUUGAUACUUGCAAGCUGGAAUGCGGUAGAGGUAAAGGGAAUUCCUGGUGUAGCGGUGAAAUGCUUAGAUAUCAGGAGGAACAUCGGUGGCGUAAGCGCUUUACUGGGCCGUAAUUGACGCUGAGGAACGAAAGCCAGGGUAGCAAAUGGGAUUAGAUACCCCAGUAGUC